UGUCCUCAUAAGGAGAGGGAGAUUUGAGC
rnacentral:piRNA from 1 species